UGGGGAAUCAUGGUCAAUGGGCGAAAGCCUGAACCUGCGACGCCGCGUGAGUGAUGAAGGUCGUAAGACCGUAAAACUCUUUUCAGGGAUCUUAAAGCCUGUCUGUCAACAACAGGCAGGUCUGACUCUCCCUGGAAGAAGCCCCAGCCAACUACGUGCCAGCAGCUGCGGUAAUACGUAGGGGGCGAGCGUUAUUCGGAAUUACUUGGUGUAAAGGGUAUGUAGGCGGCCCUUCAAGUCGCGUGUCAAAGUCCAGUGCUCAACGCUGGGUGUGCACGCGAUACUGACGGGCUUGAGGGCUGGAGAGGUGAGCGGAAUUCCCGGUGUAGUGGUAAAAUACGUAGAGAUCGGGAGGAACACCAGCGGCGCAGGCGGCUCACUAGACAGUUUCUGACGCUAAGAUACGAAAGCGUGGGGAGCAAAUA
rnacentral:rRNA from 1 species